GAACCUUACCAGGGCUUGACAUCUUCUGACCGCUUAAGGAAACUUAAGCUUUCCGGAAGGUUUACUUUUCUGGACAGAAAGACAGGUGGUGCAUGGUUGUCGUCAGCUCGUGUCGUGAGAUGUUGGGUUAAGUCCCGCAACGAGCGCAACCCCUACGGUUAGUUGCUAACGGGUAAGGCCGAGCACUUUAGCCGAACUGCCGUUGACAAAACGGAGAAGCGGGGAUGACGUCAAAUCAUCAUGCCCUUUAUGUCCUGGGCUACACACGUGCUACAAUGGCCUGUACAAAGGGCAGCAAAGGGGCGACCCGGAGCAAAUCCCAAAAAACAGGUCUCAGUUCGGAUUGCAGGCUGCAACUCGCCUGCAUGAAGGCGGAAUCGCUAGUAAUCGCAGGUCAGCAUACUGCGGUGAAUACGUUCCCGGGCCUU
rnacentral:rRNA from 1 species